rnacentral:rRNA from 1 species
GACAGAGGGUGCAAACGUUGUUCGGAAUUACUGGGCGUAAAGCGAGUGUAGGCGGUCUGCUAAGUCGGGUGUGAAAGCCCCGGGCUCAACCCGGGAAGUGCACUCGAAACUGGCAGGCUAGAGUAUCGGAGAGGUUGGUGGAAUUCUCGGUGUAGAGGUGAAAUUCGUAGAUAUCGGGAGGAACACCAGUGGCGAAGGCGACUACCUGGCCUGUUUCUUGACGCUGAGGCGCGAAAGCUAGGGGAGCAAACGGG